GUGCCAGCCGCCGCGGUAAGACGAACCGUCCAAACGUUAUUCGGAAUUACUGGGCUUAAAGGGUGCGUAGGCGGUGCUACAAGUCGGGUGUGAAAUCCCUCAGCUUAACUGAGGAACUGCGCCCGAAACUGUAGUGCUGGAGUGAGGCAGGGGUGAGCGGAACUGAUGGUGGAGCGGUGAAAUGUGUUGAUAUCAUCAGGAACACCGGUGGCGAAGGCGGCUCACUGGGCCUUUACUGACGCUGAGGCACGAAAGCUAGGGGAGCAAACGGGAUUAGAUACCCCCGUAGUCC
rnacentral:rRNA from 1 species